rnacentral:rRNA from 1 species
UGGGGAAUUUUGGACAAUGGGGGCAACCCUGAUCCAGCCAUGCCGCGUGUGCGAAGAAGGCCUUCGGGUUGUAAAGCACUUUUGUCAGGAACGAAAAGGGUUCUACUAAUACUAGGAUCUGAUGACGGUACCUGAAGAAUAAGCACCGGCUAACUACGUGCCAGCAGCCGCGGUAAUACGUAGGGUGCGAGCGUUAAUCGGAAUUACUGGGCGUAAAGCGUGCGCAGGUGGUUUUGUAAGACAGAUGUGAAAUCCCCGGGCUCAACCUGGGAACUGCAUUUGUGACUGCAAGGCUAGAGUGUGUCAGAGGGGGGUGGAAUUCCACGUGUAGCAGUGAAAUGCGUAGAGAUGUGGAGGAACACCGAUGGCGAAGGCAGCCCCCUGGGAUAACACUGACGCU